rnacentral:antisense_RNA from 2 species
CUUCACCGACCCGAGCCGCACCGGCCGCUCGGCGGGGCGGCCUCGGCCGUAGGUGGCGAGCAGGGCCUGGGCCUC